GACGAACGCUGGCGGCGCGCCUAACACAUGCAAGUCGAACGGAGCUUACAGACGGAAGCUCUCGGAUGGAAGGCUGUAAGCUUAUUGGCGGACGGGGAGGUAACACGUGAGCAACCUGCCUAACAGAGGGGGAUGACGAUUGGAAACGAUCGCUAAUACCGCAUGACAUAGCGGAAUCGCAUGGUUCUGUGAUCAAAGAUGUUAUCGCUGAUAGGUGGGCUGGCGUCCGAUUAGAUGGUUGGUGGGGUAAUGGCCUACCAAGUCGACGAUCGGUAGCCGGACUGAGUGGUCGAACGUCCACAUUGGGAAUGAGACAAGGCCCAGACUCCUACGGAAGGCAGCAGUGGGGGAUAUUGCACAAUGGGGGAAACACUGAUGCAGCGACGCCGCGUGAGGGAAGACGGUCCUCUGGAUUGUAAACCUCUGUCUUCGGGGACGACACGAGACGGUACCCGAGGAGGGAGCCACGGCUAACUACGUGCCAGCCGCCGCAGUAA
rnacentral:rRNA from 1 species